ACCCGAUUUUCCCUAAACUCCAUCGGUCUUCUCCUUCAUUUCAACAUUCCCAAAUUGGGGAAAAAUCAAAUCCCUAAAAGAAAACCGCCGCUCCCCUCCUCUCCUCCGUCCGGGCAGCGACCUCGCAUCACUCCGGGCAGCGACCUCGCAUCGCCAGCGUUCCCUCCUCGGCGUCUCGCGUCACCGGUGAUCCUCCACCCCUUUCUUCCUCUUGGCCGAAACCCUGGGCAGCUGCCUCUGUGACCGCCCUCCUCCCUCUACUCCGACAACCCACAACGCCGCUGCCGCCGGGCAUGCACGGCGGCGGUCUCUCUGCACUUGGCGUCGCACCUAGGCCACCGUCUCGCAGCCAGAGCAGCCGCUGUCCCGAAGGCAGCUCAUAGCUUCUGCCGACGCCAUACGCUCCUCCGUCGGCUAGGCUCGGAGCCUCCCGACGCCCCUUUCCUAAGCUAAGUUCCUGAUCCUAGAAUUUCAGUUCUUGACUCAGUAUUUUCUUUAGAAUUUUGUGUUUUAGGCUUGGUCGAAACUGAGUUAGGAGGGACAAGCACUACCCUAAAUCCUUUUAUCAUUUAGAAAUUGAGAGGUGUUGCUGUAAAGGGGUCUAAAGCUUGAGAUAGAUUAACAUUUUGUUCUUCUGUUCCAUUGUAUAUAAGUGCAUGCUUGAGCUUGAGUGCUACUGCUCUUCUAUCAUUCUGUUUUUUUUUUGAAGUGUUGGUGCUUUAACAUGCUUCAGGUUUGGUUGCUACAUGAUGACAUGACAAUUUAAUUGAGUUUGAAAUGGAGGUGGAGGUUACCUUUUUGCAAAGUAGUAGUUGUUUCUUUGAGUUCCCUGUUCCUAGACUCUAGUUCGAUCACCUACUUCAAAGUAGUAGUUGUUUCUUUUGAAAGGGAGUAGGGGGUGAGCUUGAGUUGAGCAUGGAAAGCUUGUGGGAAGGAAGAAGAAAUGUUACCUAUGGGGAGUAGGGGCUGCCUGCAAUAAUCCUGCAGAAACUUUACCUAGCUCCCUCACUCUGAAACUUGCUAUUGUGGCUGAAUUUUUUAAGUGUGUGGAAGGGGGAACUUGAGGGUGAUAAGGAGGAGUUCUUAUAGGCACAUUGUAGUGUACUUAGGAGGAUUAAAUGGCUGUUGCAACAGUUUUGUUUUCAUUUGGUGCAGCAUAUCAAUUUCUCCUUGAUUCUCACCACUUUUAAUUAAGAACUUUUGGUUUUAUGCUUGGGCCCAAGUAUCCUUGUAUUAAUGUGCUUUGUUUGGUCUUGCAUAGUGUACAAGAAGAGGAUGCAGGGGCUGCCUUGAAGGGUGGAUUUGCAGGCAUUGACUUGCCCUUUUUGGGUAGGGGAAGGGUCAGCUGCCACCUGGUUACCCGAGACAUGGGCCUACUGGCCCACGACGGCUGCUUUUAUAUGGGCCGUGGUGGGGGUGAGAUUUGGGCUUGGGAAAAGAGUCCCAAAGUGUAGAUAAUAGGAGCUUUUAAUUUCUUAGUCUUCUUGGCUCAUUCAUGAAUAUUUUGUAAAAGUAUAGUAACCAAUAUUCUUUUAUUUGUUAGGUUUGGUAUACUGAAAAACAUGUUUCGAGCACGAAUAUAAUCUUGCUUGUAUACGAAAAACUCUACAAUCUACUUUUAACCCGAUUCAAUAUUAUUCGAGCA